CCCUACAACUCAGUAAACUGGUUCAACGUCCCAAGAUUAGACAGACAUUUGCAGUGGCUGAUAUCCUUCCAUUCACUCUGGAGUGAUUUCCUCAUUUCAAUGCUUUAAAUAUUUCCAAAUCACAGAGCUUUUUCCAUCCAUCCGUCCAUCCAUCCAUCCAUCCAUCGAUCCAUGCCAUCUUUCCAUAUUGAAGACCAGAGAGUUUGGGAAAGGCAGAAAGGAAUGAAUUCUUCUCAGAGAGAGGAGGACUCACACACAGUCCGUCAUCGGAGCACUGUUCAGGCUGGCCUGGGAGCCGAGGAUGGAAGCCCUGUUAUGUGGUGUCUGCAGAGCUGUGUGCUGGGAGUUUGGAUCUCCACACUCUCGUUUCAGCCAGGUUUCUAACUCAUACAGAGUCUCACUCUGUUGCCCAGGCUGGAGUUCAGUGGCACCGUGUCAGCUCACUGCAACCUCUGUCUCCUGAGUUCAAGCAAUUCUCCUGCCUCAGCCUCCCGAGUAGCUGCGAUUACAGGCGCCCACCACCACGCUCGGCUAAUUUUUGUAUUUUUUAGUAGAGACGGGGUUUCACCAUGUUGGCCAUGCUGGUCUCGAUCUCCUGACCUCGUGAUCCACCCACCUCAGCCUCCCAAAGUGCUGGGAUCACAGGUGUGAGCCACCAUGCCUGGCCCCAGUUAAUUAUUUCUAAGUAGCAUUUUAGAUUGAGCACCAAUUCAUAGAUUUACUAACAGAACAGAGGGUUAUAACCUCUGAUCUCAGCUGUAAGAAAUCAGCUCCUGGUUUGGAAUUUGAAGCCCUGGGUCUCGACCUGAGCCUUGCUUUUUAUUAUGACUGGCAAGAUGGCAGCCUCUUUGAGCUCAGCUACUUAAUUUGUUACAUGGUGAUAGUAAUAGCUGCAUACCUUAUAGUAAAUGCUAUAACAGAUAUGAAAACAUGGAACAGUAUCAGUGGUCCUAAAAUAAUGAUUGGAAAUUAACAAGCCUGUUUAUCUUUUCCAUAUGUUUUGUUUUGUUUUGUUUUUUCUUGAGGCAAAAUGGCUUACUUCUGACCAGUGGUGACAUUAAGAAGAACAAAAAGAAUUGAUUUGGAAUUGAUCACUCAUUUUGGAUCUUCAUUUGUAAAAUGCCCAUUUAUUGCUUUGGGUUGGGGGUACAAGGUGUGAGGAUGCAAGCUUGAAGAAGGUAUAUUUCUUUGCACUAGGAAAAAAAAUAGAAUAGGUAGAGAAAGAAUUGGGGAGGGCCAAGGGCGAAGCAAAGUAGCUAAGACAACAUGCAUGA